rnacentral:rRNA from 1 species
CCCUUAGAUGUCCUGGGCUGCACGCGCGCUACACUGGAAGUUACGGAUUGAGAUACUACCUUGUCCGAAAUGGUCCGGGUAAUCACCUAAAAGCUGGUCAUAAUUGGAAUGGAUUAUUGUAACUAGUAAUCCUGAACGAGGAAUUCCUAGUAAGUCCCAGUCAACAGCUGGUACUGAUUACGUCCCUGCCCUUUGUACACACCGCCCGUCGCUACUACUGAUUGGACGUUUAAGCAAGAUUUUUAAACACUGACAGUGUGUAGUUCACGCUAUACUACAGUGAGAAGAAGAAGAUCGAGCUUACUUGUCUAGAGGAAGUAAAAGUCGUAACA